rnacentral:rRNA from 1 species
AGUUACUGCUAUCGAGGUUCGACUAAGCCAUGCGAGUCGAAUGUAGCAAUACAUGGCGUACUGCUCAGUAACACGUGGACAACCUACCCUCCGGACGGGUAUAAACCCGGGAAACUGGGUAUAAUCCCCGAUAGAUCUCGGUCGCUGGAAUGCCCCGAGAUCGAAAGCUCCGGCGCCAGAGGAUGGGUCUGCGGCCUAUCAGGUAGUAGUGGGUGUAGCGUACCUACUAGCCUACGACGGGUACGGGUUGUGAGAGCAAGAGCCCGGAGAUGGAUUCUGAGACACGAAUCCAGGCCCUACGGGGUGCAGCAGGCGCGAAAACUUUACAAUGCCGGCAACGGCGAUAAGGGGACCUCGAGUGCCAGGUUACAAAUCUGGCUGUCGCGAUGCCUAAAAAGCAUUGCAUAGCAAGGGCCGGGCAAGACCGGUGCCAGCCGCCGCGGUAACACCGGCGGCUCGAGUGGUAACCGUUAUUAUUGGGUCUAAAGGGUCUGUAGCCGGCCGGAUAAGUCUCUUGGGAAAUCCAGCAGCUCAACUGUUGGGCUUUCAGG